AGUGAACGCUGGCGGCAGGCCUAAUACAUGCAAGUCGAACGGCAGCACAGCAGAGCUUGCUCUGUGGGUGGCGAGUGGCGGACGGGUGAGGAAUACAUGGGAAUCUGCCCAGUCGUGGGGGAUAACGUAUGGAAACGUACGCUAAUACCGCAUGCGCCCUAAGGGGGAAAGCCGGGGACCGCAAGGCCUGGCGCGAUUGGAUGAGCCCAUGUUCGAUUAGCUAGUUGGCGGGGUAAAGGCCCACCAAGGCGACGAUCGAUAGCUGGUCUGAGAGGAUGAUCAGCCACACUGGAACUGAGACACGGUCCAGACUCCUACGGGAGGCAGCAGUAGGGAAUAUUGGACAAUGGGGGCAACCCUGAUCCAGCCAUGCCGCGUGAGUGAAGAAGGCC
rnacentral:rRNA from 1 species